AACGAACGCUGGCGGCAGGCUUAACACAUGCAAGUCGAACGCAUCCUUCGGGGUGAGUGGCAGACGGGUGAGUAACGCGUGGGAACGUGCCCUUCAGUUCGGGAUAACCCAGGGAAACUUGGGCUAAUACCGGAUACGUGCGAGAGCAGAAAGAUUUAUCGCUGAAGGAUCGGCUCGCGUCUGAUUAGCUAGUUGGUGGGGUAAUGGCCCACCAAGGCGACGAUCAGUAGCUGGUCUGAGAGGAUGAACAGCCACAUUGGGACUGAGACACGGCCCAAACUGCUACGGGAGGCAGCAGUGGGGAAUAUUGGACAAUGGGCGCAAGCCUGAUCCAGCCAUGCAGCGUGAGUGAUGAAGGCCUUAGGGUUGUAAAGCUCUUUCGUCCGGGACGAUAAUGACGGUACCGGAAGAAGAAGCCCCGGCUAACUUCGUGCCAGCCGCCGCCGUAA
rnacentral:rRNA from 1 species